AGAGUUUGAUCAUGGCUCAGAACGAACGCUGGCGGCAGGCCUAACACAUGCAAGUCGAACGAGAAGCCACCUUCGGGUGGUGGACAGUGGCAGACGGGUGAGUAACGCGUGGGAACGUGCCUUUCGGUUCGGAAUAACCCAGGGAAACUUGGGCUAAUACCGGAUACGCCCUCCGGGGGAAAGAUUCAUCGCCGAAAGAUCGGCCCGCGUCGGAUUAGCUAGUUGGUGGGGUAAUGGCUCACCAAGGCGACGAUCCGUAGCUGGUCUGAGAGGAUGACCAGCCACACUGGGACUGAGACACGGCCCAGACUCCUACGGGAGGCAGCAGUGGGGAAUAUUGGACAAUGGGCGAAAGCCUGAUCCAGCCAUGCCGCGUGGGUGAAGAAGGCCUUAGGGUUGUAAACCCCUUUCAGCGGGGAAGAUAAUGACGGUACCCGCAGAAGAAGUCCCGGCUAACUCCGUGCCAGCAGCCGCGGUAAUACGGAGGGGACUAGCGUUGUUCGGAAUUACUGGGCGUAAAGCGCACGUAGGCGGAUUUGUAAGUCAGGGGUGAAAUCCCGGGGGCUCAACCUCGGAACUGCCUUUGAUACUGCAAAUCUCGAGUCCGGAAGAGGUGAGUGGAAUUCCUAGUGUAGAGGUGAAAUUCGUAGAUAUUAGGAAGAACACCAGUGGCGAAGGCGGCUCACUGGUCCGGUACUGACGCUGAGGUGCGAAAGCGUGGGAGCAAACAGGAUUAGAUACCCNNGUAGUCC
rnacentral:rRNA from 1 species